rnacentral:lncRNA from 1 species
CUCUGCUAUUUAAGGUGAUUGAGGCUGUAUUUGUUGUAGAGCAGUAGGCCUACGCAGAUAAUAACAGACAAGGCCUCUAACACAGUCAAAAACAAAUACGUAAGUCCUAGGAGCACGAUACAUGGUGCUUAUGACUUUCCUAAAGCCGGAUAGAGAAACACACCUUGUUGGAGGAUCAACAUGUCCAACUCACGGCGCUUUUCUUUCGCUAACAAGUCGCAGACACCAUGUUUUUCUAUAGGGACGUGUCGGAUGCCAACAUAUUUUCUCCAUAAAGCCAACACUGCCGAAGAUGUAAGGCGCAGAUAAAGUGCAUGGAAAGCAUUAUGGGACUGUGAGAUUUACAGAACUGGAGUCAGGGAGGAAUGUUUCUGCCCCGUCGCCUUCCAAGAGCAACAACACACCGCGUGCCCGCCUUGCCAGAAGCGGGCGCUUUUCGCGUCUCGGGUGGGUUGGUGCGUGUGAGGGGUACGUUAACGUUUUUCAACAGGACAGCCUGGGCCUAUACAGUGAAAGCUAAACACUGUGCUUUGUAUUGCGGCCCGUGGCACAAAUCAACAGUGAACAGCUCUUGGCAGUCAAAGUGGCAGCGCAAAAACGAUCAUGAAAAUAAUAUUUGUCCAUAAAAGUUAAUUUAACACCAGUCUCUGUGCCUCUAAUAUAAACAUGUUCUUCAUCAGGAGCCAUGGGGAUGCGAAAGGCCAGAUAAUGACUAUGAAUGGCAUUUUGUUUCAUCAAGACGACAGUAUAAAUCCACUUUAGACUGUCUGGCUCUAUCAAACUAAAUUGGACUCAGCAUAAUUCAACUGUAUUCAGUAUAGAGAAGUGUGUAGGUUAAGAUGGCCUGCUAUCCCCUAAUGUUGCCUUCCCAUCAACAACCUGAUGUCCCAUUCUAGACCUAAGGAGACAAGGCCAUUGCAGAUCAUGGUGACUGGCUCCCCCUGUUGGUCUUCUGGUUCCUGCUUCCAUGUUCUCACCCGGAGCAGAGCAGACACUGGAACACAGUACGGGCUUAACAUUUCGGACACACAACCCCUCCC